UUUGCGUUCUUGCUGACUGUGCUAAAACGGACUCAAGAUAUGAGAUCAGUGUUGUGGGAGCAUUGCAGAAAGAAACCGUGGGGAAAGUUUGUUGCACAAUCAUCACUGGAUCAAAAGGUUGAAAAAAAUGCUGUAAAAUGCAGCUCCGAGCAUGUAUUACCCCAAUUCUUUCUUGUAUAGUUAUUGCAGUCUUGACCAAUUAGGGUAUGUUGAAAGAAUGCAAGAAAAGUAAAGUCAAACAGGAAUUUUUUCCUUUGUCACGA